rnacentral:rRNA from 1 species
CCUACGGGAGGCAGCAGUGGGGGAUAUUGCACAAUGGGGGGAACCCUGAUGCAGCGACGCCGCGUGGGUGAAGAAGAGCCUCGGCGCGUAAAGCCCUGUCAGCAGGGAAGAAAAUGACGGUACCUGAAGAAGAAGCCCCGGCUAACGACGGGCCAGCAGCCGCGGUAAUACGUAGGGGGCAAGCGUUAUCCGGAUUGACUGGGUGUAACGGGGGCGCAGACGGCGCUGCAAGCCAGGAGUGAAAGCCCGGGGCCCAACCCCGGGACUGCUCUUGGAACUGCGUGGCUGGAGGGCAGGAGGGGCAGGCGGACUUCCUGGUGUCGCGGUGAACUGCGUAGAUCUCAGGAG